GAUGAACGCUGGCGGCGUGCCUAAUACAUGCAAGUCGAACGCUGGAAAUCUAGCUUGCUAGAUUGAAGGAGUGGCGAACGGGUGAGUAAUACAUAAGCAACCUACCCACGAAGACUGGGAUAAUCUCUGGAAACGGGGACUAAUACCGGAUAGGUAAUCGGAAGGCAUCUUCUGAUUAUUAAAGGUUAAAAACACUGGUGGAUGGGCUUAUGGCGCAUUAGUUAGUUGGUGAGGUAACGGCCCACCAAGACGAUGAUGCGUAGCCGGCCUGAGAGGGUGAAGCACCAUUGGGAGACAGACACGGCCCCGAGACCCCCGGGGGGGGGAGGAAGGGAAAUUGUGGGAAAGGGGGGGAACCCGAAAGCGCGACGCGGCGCGAGAGAUAUGAGGGUUGGGGUGUUAAAACGCUGUUGUAAAGGAAAAAAGGGAUAUAGAGAAAAUCUAAAAAAGGGGACCCUUCAAAAAAGCCCCGGGUAAAACCGU
rnacentral:rRNA from 1 species